GAUGAAGAACGCAGCGAAAUGCGAUAAGUAGUGUGAAUUGCAGAAUUCAGUGAAUCAUCGAAUCUUUGAACGCACAUUGCGCCCUUUGGUAUUCCAAAGGGCAUGCCUGUUCGAGCGUCAUUUGUACCCUCAAGCUUUGCUUGGUGUUGGGCGUCUUGUCUCUAGCUUUGCUGGAGACUCGCCUUAAAGUAAUUGGCAGCCGGCCUACUGGUUUCGGAGCGCAGCACAAGUCGCACUCUGUAUCAGCAAAGGUCUAGCAUCCAUUAAACCUUUUUUUCAACUUUUGACCUCGGAUCAGGUAGGGAUACCCGCUGAACUUAAGCAUAUCAAUAAGCGGAGGA
rnacentral:misc_RNA from 1 species